rnacentral:rRNA from 1 species
AUGAAUUUCCUUGUUUGGGACUGUCGGGGCUUGGGGUUGGACCCGACAGUUGGGGAAUUAAGGGAUCUGAUAUGGUCAUACAACCCAGCGGUGGUGUUUCUGAGCGAGACUAAGAAGAAAGCGAGCGCAAUGGAAAAAGUUAAAUGGAGUUUAGGGUUUCGGAAUGGUGUGGCGGUGGACUGUGUGGGAAGGAGUGGAGGUUUAGCUAUGCUCUAG